UGCGUGUCCCAUCGAUGCAAAUAAAUAGCAAUCGGACGGAGCCAAGUCUGUUCCAGUAUUAUUCAAUAACCAAUUGAAAUACAACAACACACCUUACAGAAUUCAUAUUUAGUAAUUCAAAUUUUGAAAUACUGUGUAGAAGAAAAUGUUUAAUAUAUUAAAGAUGAAAAUUACCAACGAUAAAAAAAGGACCCUAAUGUUUGUAAAAUAUUAUUUCAUUGCAAUUCUAGCAGUUGAAUAUAAUUUUAAAUAAAGAAAUAAUUACUUAAUGCAAUGAUAUCACUGAAGCGUAAAGUUAUAAACAAAGUCUGGUUUCUAAUUGACUAUAUUUUGACGAAUUAAAAUCUAUCAGCUAUACAAAAAAAAGACAGAUUUUACAAAGUGCCUUUCUGGGCACUAAGGGCAUCCGUUAUCGACUUAUCGCUGGUAACCUACAAGAAGGAAGUACUGUCUACUCAGGAAUGGAAAAAUCUGUUUCAUGCACAUUUACUGGGAAUCCCAACGGUCAAGGAAGCAAUCAGUAGCUAUGCAUAAAGAUACAAGGCAAGAAUAGCAAACCGGCUAGCCGCGGUAACGUUCAACACCCUAAAGAUGGACAGAAGGCUAAAACGGAAGCACCCAGCAGACCUCACAAAGGAUAUAACCUAGCAAACGCGAGGAUGGUACCUGGGGAUAGCCAUUCACAUUUUAUUAUUUUGCAAUUAAGUUAUAAAAAUUUACCGAAUGUCCAGCUGGACAAAUUGUAAAGUACAAAAUAAAUAAUAAAAAGAAAAAGAAAAAAUUAAAUACGGGCUGUAUGAUUUCAAUAGUAUUUGCACAACUGAAACACGUACACUUCUCUCAGCUCUCAACUUUAUUGGUCGUUUUCUUCACUCUGUAUUGAUCAUUCUUUCAGAUUCUCUUUCCACUAUUUUUAAAAUCCAAGAUGCGAAGCAUGGCAAUGUACAUAGCAAUUCACGAAUUAUAUGACAAAUUAGUCAAACGUGGGAAGAUAGUAACAAUAGCGUGGCUUUCUUCACGUCGAUUUUGAAGCGAAAAUUACAUCCAUGCUUCGUAUGGACGAUUAGUAAAUCGUUGCACUAAAUCGGGACGCUAAUAAAUACAUCGAAUAUUUGUGAAAACAUUCUUGGAAUCAAACAUGAAAAAAUUAUAAAGCAGCCUGCUUCGUGAAUCAGUUGGUAACAUUUAUGAUCUUAUAACAAAUUCUAAAUGUAAUAGGAAAUAACAACUGGCAAUAGCUU